rnacentral:rRNA from 1 species
GAUGAACGCUGGCGGCGUGCCUAAUACAUGCCAGUCGAGCGAACGGACGAGAAGCUUGCUUCUCUGAUGUUAGCGGCGGACGGGUGAGUAACACGUGGAUAACCUACCUAUAAGACUGGGAUAACUUCGGGAAACCGGAGCUAAUACCGGAUAAUAUUUUGAACCGCAUGGUUCAAAAGUGAAAGACGGUCUUGCUGUCACUUAUAGAUGGAUCCGCGCUGCAUUAGCUAGUUGGUAAGGUAACGGCUUACCAAGGCAACGAUGCAUAGCCGACCUGAGAGGGGGAUCGGCCACACUGGAACUGAGACACGGGCCAGACUCUUACGGGAGGCAGCAGUAGGGAAUCUUCCGCAAUGUGCGAAAGCCUGACGGAGCAACGCCGCGUGAGUGAUGAAGGUCUUCGGAUCGUAAAACUCUGUUAUGAGGGAAGAACAUAUGUGUAAGUAACUGUGCACAUCUGGACGGUACCUAAUCAGAAAGCCACGGCUAACUACGG